GUGCCAGCAGCCGCGGGGUAAAACGUAGGGGGCCAGCGUUGCUCGGAAUUACUGGGCGUAAAGGGUCUGUAGGCGGUGCGGUAAGUCCGGAGUGAAAUCUCCAGGCUCAACUUGGAGGCUGCUUCGGAAACUGCCGUGCUCGAGUGUGGGAGAGGCGAGUGGAAUUGCAGGUGUAGCGGUGAAAUGCGUAGAUAUCUGCAGGAACACCAGUGGCGAAAGCGAUUCGCUGGACCACAACUGACGCUGAGAGACGAAAGCUAGGGGAGCAAACAGGAUUAGAUACCCUGGUAGUCCUAGCCCUAAACCAUCAGGACUUGGCGUGGGCCCCGUCCGGGGUCCGUGCCGUAGCCAACGUGAUAAGUCCUGCGCCUGGGGAGUACGGUUGCAAGGCUGAAACUCAAAGGAAUUGACGG
rnacentral:rRNA from 1 species